UGACCACUGGUUCAAUCAUGCCACUGUCAGCCGAAAUCACAAGAAUCUUAUACGGCUUGAUCCACAGGGGGACUCGCUCCUGUUCCCAAAUGGACUGUGAGGAGACAGAGGUCUUAAGCUCCUUGCAGGCAGGGCCAAGAUCACAGCACUCACUGCUGCCACAGAGACCCUCCAUCAGGACUUCUUGAAAUAUUUAUUAAACUAUGAAUUACUAUU